rnacentral:rRNA from 1 species
GAGUUUGAUCCUGGCUCAGAACUAACGCUGGCGGCGUGCCUAACACAUGCAAGUCGUACGAGAAAGUUGGCUUCGGCCGAUGAGUAAAGUGGCGCACGGGUGAGUAACGCGUGGAUAAUCUACCCCUCAGUUGGGAAUAACUCAUCGAAAGGUGGGCUAAUACCGAAUAAUACUGCAUAACUACUGUUGUGUAGUCAAAGAUGGCCUCUGCUUGCAAGCUAUCGCUGAAGGAUGAGUCCGCGUACCAUUAGCUAGUUGGUAGGGUAAUGGCCUACCAAGGCAACGAUGGUUAGCUGGUCUGAGAGGAUGAUCAGCCACACUGGAACUGAGACACGGUCCAGACUCCUACGGGAGGCAGCAGUGAGGAAUAUUGCGCAAUGGGGGCAACCCUGACGCAGCAACGCCGCGUGAGUGAGGAAGGUUUUCGGACCGUAAAGCUCUGUCGAGCGGGAAGAAGUGCAUAGUGGCUAAUAUCCAUUAUGCUUGACGGUACCGCUAAAGGAAGCACCGGCUAACUCCGUGCCAGCAGCCGCGGUAAUACGGGGGGUGCGAGCGUUGUUCGGAAUCAUUGGGCGUAAAGAGCGUGUAGGCGGCUGGAUAAGUCAGAUGUGAAAGCCCUGGGCUUAACCCAGGAAGUGCAUUUGAAACUGUUCAGCUUGAGUAAGGGAGAGGAAAGUGGAAUUCCUGGUGUAGAGGUGAAAUUCGUAGAUAUCAGGAGGAACACCGGUGGCGAAGGCGACUUUCUGGCCCUAUACUGACGCUGAGACGCGAGAGCGUGGGUAGCAAACAGGAUUAGAUACCCUGGUAGUCCACGCUGUAAACGAUGUUCACUAGGUGUUGGGGGUAUUGACCCUCUCAGUGCCGCAGCUAACGCAUUAAGUGAACCGCCUGGGGAGUACGGUCG